rnacentral:misc_RNA from 1 species
UUUCCGUAGGUGAACCAGCGGAAGGAUCAUUACUGAGUGCAGGUCCCUCGAGGACCUAAGAUCCUACCCUUUUUUCCUGUAUACGCUCUUGCUUUUCCCGGCCCACCGGGACUUCCCAGCCGCCGACGGGCACUCCCCCCCUGGGCCUGUGACCGCCAGAGAGCCCCUGAACUCUAAUGAAGAUGGACUGUCCGAACAUAAUUGAUAAUGAUCAAAACUUUCAGCAAUGGAACCCUUGGUUCAGGCGUCGAUGAAGAACGCAGCAGCUCGGAAGACCAC